rnacentral:misc_RNA from 1 species
UCUCCGUAGGUGAACCUGCGGAGGGAUCAUUACAGAGUUCAUGCCCUACCGGGUAGAUCUCCCACCCUAUGUUAUUAUUACUUUGUUGCUUUGGCGGGCCGUUAGGCUCCGGCCCGACUACCGGCCCCGGCUGGUAAGCGCCCGCCAGAGGACCCAAAACCCUGAAUAUUAGUGUCGUCUGAGUACUAUAUAAUAGUUAAAACUUUCAACAACGGAUCUCUUGGUUCUGGCAUCGAUGAAGAACGAAGC